rnacentral:rRNA from 1 species
UUCGAGUGGCGGACGGGUGAGUAACGCGUGGGUAACCUGCCUUACACAGGGGGAUAACACCUGGAAACAGGUGCUAAUACCGCAUAAGCGCACAGGGCCGCAUGGCCCGGUGUGAAAAACUCCGGUGGUGUAAGAUGGACCCGCGUCUGAUUAGCUAGUUGGUGGGGUAAUGGCCUACCAAGGCAACGAUCAGUAGCCGGCCUGAGAGGGUGAACGGCCACAUUGGGACUGAGACACGGCCCAAACUCCUACGGGAGGCAGCAG